GACGAACGCUGGCGGCGUGCCUAAUACAUGCAAGUCGAGCGGUCCCUUCGGGGAUAGCGGCGGACGGGUGAGUAACACGUAGGCAACCUGCCUGCAAGACCGGGAUAACUAUCGGAAACGAUAGCUAAGAGCGGAUAGCUGGUUUUCUCGCAUGAGAGGAUCAUGAAACACGGAGCAAUCUGUGGCUUACGGAUGGGCCUGCGGCGCAUUAGCUAGUUGGCAGGGUAACGGCCUACCAAGGCGACGAUGCGUAGCCGACCUGAGAGGGUGACCGGCCACACUGGGACUGAGACACGGCCCAGACUCCUACGGGAGGCAGCAGUAGGGAAUCUUCCGCAAUGGACGCAAGUCUGACGGAGCAACGCCGCGUGAGUGAUGAAGGUUUUCGGAUCGUAAAGCUCUGUUGCCAGGGAAGAACGCUCGGGAGAGUAACUGCUCCCGGGGUGACGGUACCUGAGAAGAAAGCCCCGGCUAACUACGUGCCAGCAGCCGCAGUAAAAC
rnacentral:rRNA from 1 species